rnacentral:lncRNA from 1 species
AGGGCGCAGCGCCGCUCACUUCACCCCCCUCGCCCCCUCCAGCCGCCCCUGCUCAGUGGGUGCUCGCCUCCUCGUCCCCAGUCGCACGGAAAGUUGAAGGACUACAUCGCGUUAGAUCACCGCAAAAAAAAAAUGGGUGACUGGCCACAUCCAGGUGAUGAGGACUGCAUCCCUGUGUGAGAGAGACGAAGAAGACGAAGAGGAAGAAGAAGAAGAAGAAGGAGGAGGAGGAGAAAGACAAAUCAUGAGAUGUCUUUGGAAGCCAUAAAUUGUUGAAGACUUUUUCAUUUUUUUUUUUUUUUUAAAUUUCGCUUUCAACGCUGAGGAGAGGCGCUUUUAUUUUGACCUGUGCGCCAAAGAAAAAGAAGAGGGAGGGGGGAGGGGGAAAUGGUAAGAAGCAAACGAAAUAAUAAGUUUAUUUCUAUCUAAGGACGUUGAUGUUGCUUUCAUGCUGCAGCUCCCGACUCAAGACUAGACACGAUUAAUACAGUAAACACCCCUGACUAUGUUGCACAUAGAUCGAUCAAAUAGGAUAUUAUAAGACCCCCCGGGUGCUGCGGGGUGUGAUGGGUGUCAGACAGCCGGUUUGUUUUCACACACCACCCCGAGGCACCUCCUUUCCUUUUUUCCUUCUUCUUCUUCCCCAUCCUCGGAGCAGUGCAGCCAACAGUGUGGUGAUGAGGAGAAUCGGCGCAGCGGCGGAGCGGGCGGGAUGCGAGAAGUUGCUUCGUCCACACUCCGCUCUUUUCUGGUGCCACCGCAGCCCACUCUUCUGUGUGUAUUUCUGUGCAGGGGAUAUAACGCGUGCCCGUGUCUUUCCCAUGUCAGGUGGCGUCGCGCGGACUACGACAGUUCCCCAUUGACAUGGGCACCGGCGCGGAGAGGAGGACAGACUGCGUGGCGAGUCGCGCGUCCUUCUGCUGAGAGAGUUUGGCACCGCGAGCGAACAGAGACAUGGGGCCGCUCCGGUGCGUCGUGGGACUCACCGCGCUUCUCCUGUGCACAGAACGCCGUCGUGUUAUCUGACACGAAAUCAAGCAAGUGGACGGAACUUUGGGAAGUUUCCGCCUGCACAAGCACAAACUGAGCCGUCG